rnacentral:rRNA from 1 species
UACGUAGGGGGCGAGCGUUGUCCGGAAUUAUUGGGCGUAAAGAGCGUGUAGGCGGCUAGGUAGGUCCGUUGUGAAAACUCGAGGCUCAACCUCGAGACGCCGGUGGAAACCAUCUAGCUAGAGUCCGGAAGAGGAGAGUGGAAUUCCUGGUGUAGCGGUGAAAUGCGCAGAUAUCAGGAAGAACACCCGUGGCGAAGGCGGCUCUCUGGGACGUGACUGACGCUGAGACGCGAAAGCGUGGGGAGCGAACAGG